rnacentral:rRNA from 1 species
GGAUAACACCUGGAAACAGGUGCUAAUACCGCAUAACAGAAGGGGACGCAUGUUCCUUUCUUGAAAACUCCGGUGGUACGGGAUGGACCCGCGUCUGAUUAGCUGGUUGGCGGGGUAACGGCCCACCAAGGCGACGAUCAGUAGCCGGCCUGAGAGGGCGGACGGCCACAUUGGGACUGAGACACGGCCCAAACUCCUACGGGAGGCAGCAGUGGGGAAUAUUGCACAAUGGGGGAAACCCUGAUGCAGCGACGCCGCGUGAGUGAAGAAGCGUUUCGGCGCGUAAAGCUCUGUCAGCGGGGAAGAAACACGUCGCGAGAGCCGCGGACGGUACCCGACCAAGAAGCCCCGGCUAACUACGUGCCAGCAGCCGCGGUAAUACGUAGGGGGCAAGCGUUAUCCGGAUUCACUGGGUGUAAAGGGAGCGUAGACGGCGAGACAAGUCUGGAGUGAAAGGCCGGGGCCCAACCCCGGGACUGCUCUGGAAACUGCCUGGCUGGAGUACAGGAGAGGUAAGUGGAAUUCCUAGUGUAGCGGUGAAAUGCGUAGAUAUUAGGAGGAACACCAGUGGCGAAGGCGGCUUACUGGACUGUAACUGACGUUGAGGCUCGAAAGCGUGGGGAGCAAACAGGAUUAGAUACCCUGGUAGUCCACGCCGUAAACGAUGAUCACUAGGUGUCGGGGGUUAGAAGGCCCCCGGUGCCGCAG